AGUCAAGUUGCCUAAGCAAGGUACAUGGCCAGUAAGUUGGAGAAUGAGGAUUCUAACCCAGGAACUCUGGCUAGAGGUCUGCAUUCAUAAGUACUACUCUAUUAUGCAUAUAUAGCAGAUUCAAAUCACAAGGAUUUGAAAAGACUUGAUGCCGUUGACAUUUUUGAAAGAUGAAUAUGGGCUGAUGCCAGAUUCUUAAAAGAGAAAUCUCUCUUAUUCUGAAAAUCCUUGCUUAUUCUCCAGUUGUCUUCCCUGCUAUUACACAGAGAAAACACAAGUCCUCAGGUGGGAAGUAUCUUAGUUUCUUAUUUCUUCAUAUCUAUUAAAUUUAUAACAUCUAAAACUAUUAUUUCUUCUUUCCCUUACAUAUAAGUGGAAUGUUUUUCCCUUAUCCUGCAUAACACUAACACGAUGACCUCUUAGAUCUCAUCUCCUUGUGUCUACACCUCAUUUCCCAUUUGGUAUAAUUAUCAGUAUCUUCCUUAAAUUCUCUAGUCUGUCAAUUAUGAACUCUCUGAAGUUUAUGAAACAAGACAUACUAUCUCACUUCCGUGAUAGUGUUCAUGUGAGGAUAUAGAGUUGUGUUUUCCUUAUCUCAUUAAAUCUUAUUCAUAUUAGAAAGUUUAUUUCAGACAACAUCUGCUCCUAGAACCUUCUCCUGAGCCCUUCAUUCUAGGUAAGAUGCCUCUUUUUACAACUAAGAAUUUAUUUAAAUUUACAUUUUAUUGGACUAUAAUGUCAUGGCAUUUGUCUCUCCCCUUCCACUAUAAGAUCAUCAGAGGACUCUACCCUUUUAAUUUUUGUAUCCUAGAUACCUAGUUAGCAUAAUGUUUGAUAAAUAGUAGAUGUGUACUUAAAAUUAAUUUAAGGGAAAUUGACCCUAACAAACUGAAGAAAUGAAAUAAAUUUAAAGCAGAUAAAUGAAUUCAUAACUUUUUUUGACCAAAAGAGAUUGAAAGCUUAUAGAUAGGGACAUCCAUUUUCUCAUGUGAAAAAUAUUUCUGUCAUUGUUAUAUUUCUUUUAACUUUCAGCUCUUAAUUUGUAUCUCACUGGUUGGACUUAGCUUAUUUUUAAUUGUGCCAUAGGUGCACUUAGUUCUGAGUUAUUGCAGCAAGGAUUCUAGCAUCCAUCACCCACUAUCCUCAGAUAUACAGAGUCAAAAGACAUGAAAGUUAGGAAAGAGAGCCAAGACAGUUCAUUGGUUUUGGCUUAAGGUUGGACAUUUCUUUAUUCAGAAUUCUCACAAUCCUCAAAGUCUUUACUUAUUCUUACUGCUUAAUUCUUUUUAUUCUUAAAGGAAUGUAAACUAAGGUAUCCAGAACUGGGAAGUCAGUGGUGAAUUACCAAGGGGAUGUUGUCACAAAUUUAGAAAACCAAGAGUAUUUGCCUUGGAAAGUCACAAAGCAGGUGCAUUUCAAUGACUCUUUUGUGAGUGACUGCCAAAAUUCUGAAGGAAGCAGAGGUUAUUUUCUGAUCCAACACAACAUCAAGGACAAAAUACCAUUGAGGAAAAACUGUCCCACGGAAAGUGGUUCAAAGAAAUUCCAAGGUCAUCUUGCAUCUAAUUUAGAGGAACAAUCCUCUUCAGUAUUUGAGGAUGAAACAAAAGGGCAAAGUACCCAGGCAGAAGAGCUUGUGGAACAGCACACCUGUGAGCGUGGAAGAAAAACAUAUGAAGAAUUGAGUGACUGAAGAGAAGGGACUGUGAAAGAGAAGGACAAGCAUGACACAGUGGGAUAGCAUUGUCAUGCCUCAAAGUUACAGAAAAUAGAUGGCUGAGAGAAGAGAUGGGAGAGAAGAGCUGGGAGUAACUCACUGGGUCCAGUUCAUGCUCAGGGGAGGAGAUUGCACAAGGUUAUGCCCACCUGGAGGUGGAAUCAACAGAGACUAUGGGAUGGGCUGUCAACCACAGCCAUGCAAUUGGAUUCCUAGUGUUCACAUCUCUCCCUCCCAAAAUUGGUAGGUUCUGAAAAAGAAAAAAACCUUAAUCCAAUAUGUUUUCUAGAAUGCAAUAGUGAAAAAAUAAGUCAAUCUGAUACAUUCAAGGUAAUUUUUAUAAUUUGUUUCUUUUUAUUUUUUAUUUCAGCAUAUUAUGGGGAUACAAAUGUUUAGGUUACAUAAUUACCUUUGCCCCCUUCCUGAGUCAUCAAAUUGUUAAUUUUAUAAUUUAUAUACGAUUGACAUUAUUCACAACAUUACCAAAGUUGCCAAGAUCAUAUUUUUAGAUGUUCACUUAGGCCAUUUCUGUUUAAUACAUAUUGACUGUGUGCUCAAUGUCCAUUCUAAGACUGAGGGAUUCAAAUAACUGGUGGAUGAUAGGAAAGACCUAUCCAGGACAUCAGUCAUGGCCUAGUCCAUCUAUAGGCCAAUCAGAACUAACCCACAGGUAGAUUAUUGAAUCUCUGAGCACUGAAAAGAGCAUCAAACCAAAUCAUCUGCUUCAGUCCUACACAAUGUCCCAAAGAUCUGUAUUUCAAAAGAGCAAUUAAAUCAAUAUUUCAUUUGAACAUUCUGCAGGAAAGUGCUAUUAGAUCAAGGCCUUAUUAGCUAUGAACAAUUUAGCAUGAAACAUUUUGAGACCUAGUACAAAACAGAGGAAGUGCAACACAGGAUAGAUCAGGUUUGUCUUUAUGUAAGAAGUGAAACAGAAUUAUCGAUAAUAAUGUUGGGCCAUGGACAGGGAGCUGAUGAGAGAUGGCUCUGAUUUCAAAGAACCUAUGUGUUUGUCCUCCCAAGCCCAGUCUUUUCCAUCUAUUGUAAUGUCAAUAUUAAUAUUAGGUAGGAGUGCCCCUUUAAUGACCUGUAGGGAUUCUUCUAGCUUGAAGAGUUGUUUCUAUUCUUCUGUUAAUCUUCUUCAAUUAAAGACAGUUAAAGAGGAUUCUCCAUCACUCCUUAAAGUGGAAAUUUAAUUUUUAAACAAUGAGUCUUUUACCUUAAAGUGAUCCCACAUCUUUUUCAACUAAGUAUUUUCAUUUAGUCCAAUACAAAUCCUUAGUGCAACACAUUUUUAGUGCAAAACAAAAAUACUUUAGUGCAAAGACACUCUUCA